UCGGUCGCAUUAUCGGUUUAUCGACGAUCGACGCAUUAUUUUAUUCUAUCUAUCUAUCGGUCGACGACCAUUAUCUAUCUAUCGACGACGCAUUAUUUAUCUAUCCAUCCAUUCAUCAUUCAUCCAUCCAUCCAUUCAUCCAUCCAUCCAUCCAUUCAUCCAUCCAUUCCAUCCAUCAUCCAUCCAUCCAUCCAUCCAUCCAUCAUCCAUCCAUCCCAUUCCAUCCAUCAUCCAUCCAUCAUCCAUCCAUCAUUCAUCCAUCCAUCCAUCCAUCCAUCAUCCAUCCAAUUCAUCCAUCCAUCCAUCAUCUAUCCAUCCACUCCAUUCAUCCAUCCAUCCAUCCAUCAUCCAUCCAUCCAUCCAUCCAUUCAUCCAUCCAUUCAUCCAUCCAUCCAUUAUCCAUUCAUUCCAGAAUUUGCCGAGCACAUCCAUCUAUCCAUGCAUCUAUCCACCCACCCAUUCAUUAUCCAUCCAUCCAUCAUCCAUCCAUUCCAGUAUUGUCUAAUUGCUAACGCAUUCAUCUUAUUCCUUCUAUCUUAUCUAUCAUUCAUCUAUUCCAGCAUUUGGCAUAAUCGAGAAUUCAAUCUAUCCAUUCAUUCAUAUAUCCACCUACCUACCCACUACCUAUUCAUUAUCCAACCACCCAUCCAUCCAUUCCAGAAUCAUUUGCCAAGCAAGCACAUCCAUCUAUCCAUCCAUCCACCCACCCAUUAUCCAUCCAUCAUCCAUCCAUUCCAGAAGCAUUUGCCGAUCAAGCAAUCCAUCCAUCCACCCAUCCAUUCAUUAUCCAUCCAUCCAUCCAUCAGUGAUCCACCAUCCAUUCACCAUAAUCCAUCCAUCCACCCACUCCACCCAUUAUUCAUCUAUACUAUCCAUUCAGAAGCAUUUACAAGUAAGCACAUCCAUUCAUCCAUCCAUCCACCCACCCACCCCUGAUCCAUCUAUCCAUCAUCCAUCCACUCAUUCCAGAAGCAUUUGCCAGCAAUCCAUCCACCCACCCACCCAUUCAUUAUCCAUCCAUCCACCCACCCAUUAUCCAUCCGUCCAUCCAUCCACUAUCCAUCCAUUCAUCCAUCCAUCAUCCAUCCAUCCAUUCCAGAAGCAUUUGCCGAUCAAGCAAUCCAUCCAUCCACCCACCCAUUCAUUCCAGAAUCAUUUGCCAAGCAAGCACAUUCAUCUAUCCAUCCACCCACCCACCCUUUCGUAUCCAUCCAUCCAUCCAUCAUCCAUCUAUCCAUCUAUCCAUCCAUCAUCUAUCCAUCCAUCGAUCCACCCAUCUAUUAUCCAUCCGUCCAUUAUCCUCAUUAUCUCCAGCUUAUCGGGUCAGUGAGUACACUCCAUUCAUCCAAUGUAUCUAUCCACCCACCCGUUCAUUAUCCAUCCAUUCCAGCAUUUGCCGAUGGAGCAAUUCAUCUGUCCACUCACCCACCCAUUCAUUAUCCAUCCAUCCUGAUCCAUUCCAGAAAAUCAUUUGCCAAGGAAGCACAUCCAUCUAUCCAUCCAUCCACCCACCCAUUCAUUAUCCAUCUAUCCGUCCAUCAUCAAUCCAUCCAUCAUCUAUCCAUCCAUCCAUCCACCCAUCUGCAUAUCCAUCCGUCCACAUCCCCAUUCCAGAAGCAUUUUACGAAAGGAGGACCCAUUCUUAUCCAAUGAUUCAUUCCACCUUACCCUGCUUCACAUUCAUCCAUCCAUCUAUCCAGUCACUUAUGCAUCAUCUUCCAUUCUCCAUUCCAUCCAUCUAUCCAUCAUCCAUCCAUUCCAGCAUUUAUUUAUCGAAAGCAAUUCCAUCCUACCCACUCACCCAACAUCUCAUCAUCCAUCCAUCCAUCCAUCCAUCCCAGAAUCAUUUGCCAAGCAAGCACAUCCAUCUAUCCAUCCAUCCACCCACCCAUUCACUAUCCAUCCAUUUAUUCAUCCAUCAUUUAUCCAUCCAUCCAUCCAUUCCAGCAUUUGCCGAUCGAGCAAUCCAUCCACCCACCCACCUAUUCAUUAUCCAUCCAUCCAUUCAUUCCAGAAUCAUCUGCCAAGCAAGCACAUCCAUCUGUCCAUCCAUCCACUCUACUUCCACGUAAUUUAUUAUUCAUUCCAUCUAUUAUUUUAUUCCAUUCAUCAUUGAUCUAUCAUUAUCUAUCAUCUAUCAUCUUCCAUACGACACGACCUUAUUCCAUU
ensembl:lncRNA